UCGCGAAUCCGCGUGCUGCUCGUUUCGAAUUUCUUUCGAUCCACGGAAAGGUGAUAUUUGGUGCCGCGUUAAAGUCCGCACGUGCUAUUCGAUUUUGAAUGCGACUGCUCAGAUUUUACGAUCUGUGAAUUAAAAAAUUCACACGAUUCAUCACUAUUGUGAUAAUCGGGAUUCGAAGAUCGUUCGAUUUGUCGAUCGUAUGAAUCAAACGGUGCUUUAGCACCGAUGCUGAAACUAUGCCAAACGACGGUCAUUAACUGUUCAAAUUUUCAUCGCGAACUCGAUUACAACAAUCGCACAACGCGCGAAAUUGUGCGUUACUCAAAAGUUAUAAGAAAACACGAGAAUUGCGCUAAACAAUGAUAUGGUUUCUAUAAACUCAAGGUCGCAAUUGUAAUAAGUACGCAGUUAUUCGACCAUUCGUGCGGUCAUCGAGUGGAUUUCGGCGAUCAAACUAAAAUGUUCAUCUCGAAAUGAUAAAACCGCCCCGUAUUAAUUAGCGGCCAGGCACAAAAUUCAUGGAUUUCAACUCGUAGAGGAUCGUGUGAAUUGCAUAGGCAUUAUAUGUAGAUGGUUGUUGGUGAAAAUUUAUACAGUCCAUGUGAAACGUGAAUUCGAAACGAUAUGAAUGAACAUCGUUAAUCGAAUUUAAGAGCGAAUCGAUUCCAAUUAAUUGGAAGACCGUAACCAAAUGUGCUAAACUUUCAGCACUGUAACUUCAAUAUAUAACCACCCUCGGAAAAUUAAAUUCGUAAUUUUUGAGUUGAAAGUGUAAUCAAUACCGGCACAAAAUUGAAUCGAUAAAGAUGUCAUCAUCGGUGAAAUUAUUCAACCCUCAGAAUCAUUGACGAAGAGGUUCAGACAGACACUCGAUUGGUGUGGAGUGAAGAAUCGGUGUUGUUUUUUCAACGCCAUGUAUUAGAAAAUAUCAGACGACAAUUAUUGUACAAGUGCGACUUGAAAAAGUACCACCAGCUAUGAUGUGUGAUAAAUUUUUGAGUGAACCCAACCGAGUGUAAUUCAGUGACUCGAAGUUUGGCGAAUUCCGAAAAAUUUCCACCGACCAUUGAUCGCGAGGUUGACAUCAACGCACGAAGACCACAGGAUAUAUCCUACCGCGGCUGUUCUCCACCUUUCGGUCAGAAAUGCCCCGUUGGUUAGCCGGUGGGUUUCUGACCUUCGGAAUAAUUCAAGACCCGAA
rnacentral:lncRNA from 1 species